CCAGAGGGAUCCUCUAUUUAUAAAUACCCAGAGGCUUCCACUGAGCCUCCGCAACUCCUGGGGGCACCCAGCACCACCACACUUGCCAGCCAUCGCCAACGCAUGGACUACAUGGCCCCUCCCAACUCUGAACUCCUUGGAUUCUACGGCUUUGUCAGGUGCGCAGACCCCUGGGUCUGCAUCACCUGUUAGCUGUUUAAAAAGCAGCAUUUUACUGUUGCGCCUCCGUCCGCCUAGAUCAGCGAGGUCUUCGGUUUAGCACGAGCUUCUAUUGACAUCAGGUGGUGAGAAAGGGGAACUGCAUGCCGGGUGGUUGGUGUGAUGGACCUUGUCAGCGGGACUGGGCUUUCCCUAAGGCAGCCCUGUUCUGAAAGGGACACGGGCACAAGAUGGCGGAGGAGGGACUGAGCCCUCAAAAGUGUGACUUGACCGUUAUUCACCUCACUCUCAGACGUCAUGUGCCAAUUAGUAUUCUCCUAAUACCCUAUCCCACACACUUGACCUUUCCCUUAAUUCUCCAGAGCACAGCUGCGACCAGGCUGGAGCACUUAAGUUCAAUUUCCCUGAAGUUUCAAGGACAAAAAAAAAAAAAA